UGCGGGGUGGAGCAGUCUGGUAGCUCGUCGGGCUCAUAACCCGAAGGUCACAGGUUCGAAUCCUGUCCCCGCUACCA
rnacentral:tRNA from 3 species